rnacentral:tRNA from 1 species
UCCCUGGUAGCUCAGUUGGUAAAGAACCUGCCUGCAGUGCAGGAGACACAGGUUAAAUCCCUGGGUAAGGAA